GAAGAAGCGCCGGCUAACUACGUGCCAGCAGCCGCGGUAAUACGUAGGGCGCAAGCGUUAUCCGGAAUUAUUGGGCGUAAAGAGCUCGUAGGCGGUUUGUCGCGUCUGCUGUGAAAGACCGGGGCUCAACUCCGGUUCUGCAGUGGGUACGGGCAGACUAGAGUGCAGUAGGGGAGACUGGAAUUCCUGGUGUAGCGGUGAAAUGCGCAGAUAUCAGGAGGAACACCGAUGGCGAAGGCAGGUCUCUGGGCUGUAACUGACGCUGAGGAGCGAAAGCAUGGGGAGCGAACAGGAUUAGAUACCCUGGUAGUCCAUGCCGUAAACGUUGGGCACUAGGUGUGGGGGACAUUCCACGUUUUCCGCGCCGUAGCUA
rnacentral:rRNA from 1 species